UCGAUUUUUGAUCCUCGCCCACCUCAUCCUCAUCCAGAAAUAAAAAAUCCAAAUUGGAGAGGUGGCGGUUAUCCUUUGUUGAAGCAAGUCCUACCCCAAAAAGAAGGUUUCUUCGAAGAAAUUGAUCUUCUCCUGAGUAUACUCUGAAAAAGAUUAGAAUACCUCAACCACCAAUCGAUCGACAUCAAUAAUCUUCUCA
rnacentral:lncRNA from 1 species